rnacentral:lncRNA from 1 species
CACUCAGCUUUCUGAAAUGGUGUCCCACCGCAAGGACUGGAGAAGGGUAAACCUCAGGUUCUCCUCCUGCCUUUUGCUAAGUAUAUGUCUUGAUGACAAGCCUUCUGCUGAUGAGCUGUGUUUCUGGACCGAUCAUGGUAGAAGUCAAUUAACGUGUCCCUCACUUGGGGUUUCUCAAGGGAGUCUCACUCUGUCGUCCAGGCUGGAGUGCAGUGGCACAAUCUCGGCUCACUGCAAGCUCCGCCUCCCAGGUUCACGCCAUUCUCCUGCCUCAGUCUCCCAACUGCACUGAUGAGGAAACUGAAACAGAAAAUCCAGAGUAAAUUCCACCAGGCCACACAGCAAGGUCUGAUAGAGCCAGGAGAGACUUUAUGAAAUCCAGACUCUCACACUAAUGCUCUAUCAGCUAGACCUCCAUGUGAGUCUCCCCAAUGUAGGUAGGAAGUGCUUUCCCUAAAAUGCUCAUAAAGCAAAUCAGAGCAAUGCUGCAUUCCAUGUGAUUUCUAAUUUGAAAUGCAAACAAUUGCCAAUUUGUUUGACUUGUAUUUAUAAUUAUUUCCUUGUGAAUUACUCAUCACUAAAUGCUUUAUAAAUAUUUUCUCUUUUUUUCCUCAAUGUCUAUGGAAUGAUCACAGCAUAGAAAAUGUUGGCUUUCAAGGAUUUAUUAAUAUCUCCUUUUGAAAUAACAUGUAUUUGUAAGACGGAAUAAAAUCACUUUAAA